CUGACACAUAUUUUUCUCUAGGACAUAUUUUGUACUUGUUGGGUAGUCUUAAUAACCAAUUAUAUUUAUGUGUCCAUGAAUUAUCCUAAAAAUUAAUAAAGAUGAUUUUGUAUAUUUUUAAGGUAUUGAGAAUUUGAGACAUACAUCAUUAGUGGUUAAUUUCUAAAUACUCGCGAUUGAAAGAUCGUCAUGGAGAAAAAUGAUUAAUCCAUUCAAGAUCAGUACACAGAUUACCUUUCUUUAUGGCAGA
rnacentral:lncRNA from 1 species